rnacentral:rRNA from 1 species
CUACGGGCGGCAGCAGUUGGGAAUAUUGCGCAAUGGGCGAAAGCCUGACGCAGCGACGCCGCAUGAUCGAAGAAAUCCUUCGGGAUGUAAAGAUCUUUUCUUUGGGACGAUUAUGACAGUACCAGAGGAAUAAGGACUUGCUAACUACGUGCCAGCAGCAGCGGUAAUACGUAGAGUCCAAGUGUUAUCCGGAAUUAUUGGGCGUAAAGUGUUUGUAAGCUGAUUAAUAAGUUAGAUUUAAAAUUUUCAGGCUUAACUUGAAAUUUGGAUUUAAUACUAUUAAUCUUGAGUAUAGUCGGGGUAAAUGGAACUCUCGGUGUAGUAGUGAAAUGCGUUGAUAUCGAGAGGAACACCAAUGGCGAAGGCAAUUUACUAGGUUAAUACUGACGCCGAGGAACGAAAGCGUGGGUAGCGAAAGGGAUUAGAUACCCCGGUAGUC